CAACACUAACGGAAACAUCAACGUGCAAAGCAAAGACGGACAGACGCUUUCUGUCUCGACUGGUCCCACUUUGAAACAUAUUUGAGCGAAAGAGUUGAAAAUAAAUAGAAAAUCAGCGCCCAAAUGCGGCUACGUGAUAUGUGCAUACAACAACAACAGCAACAGUAGCAGCAGCAGCAGCAGCAGCAGCAGCAGCAGCAACAGCAGCAGCAGCAGCAGCAGCUCCAUGUUGCAGUUGCCAUAGCUACAUAUAUAGCACGCAAAAUCUGUUCUAUCAGCUUACACAUGCUCAUGCUUCAGUGGCAAUAUGUACGAGCAGCAGCUACAGCAGCAACAGCAACAACAACAGCAGCAGCAGCAGCAGCAGCAGCAGCAGGAACAACAACAUUUGUGACAGCCGCGUGCCAAAAAUUGCCGAUUUUAACAAGCGAAUUGCAACAGCGACAGCAGCGACAACUAUUGCUAACUAAAGCAACAACAACGACAACAACAGCAACAACAAUAACAGCAGCAGCAACAACAACGAACAUUGCAACCAGGCGCCACAAACUAACCAAAUGUCAAUUCAAAAGCUAAACGAGAACGCCAACUCGGGCUAUGUUAGCUCCGAGGAGACGGACUCGCUGCUUGUAUCGAACCCAACGAAGGGCGGGCGAACCGCAUUGCUGCGGCAGGUGAAGAGCAGCUCGGCAAAUGGACCAACAUCGAACAAUAUGGCUUCCACGUCCGGUGGCAAACCGACGCUGAUGCGUCAGGAUCGGACAUCAACAUAUCUGACAAGUCCGCAGCAGUCGCAGCAUAUCCGCAUGGGCUCCGAGGAGAGUAUGCGCGGCGGGAUUGGUGUUGGGCACAACGAUGAGGAUAUUGAGCAGGGGCUGCGUGCCGCCAUUGUGCCUGACAUUGAAGUACACGAAGAGGACCAAGAACUAACACAAAACACAUCAACAACAACAACAAUAUCGGCAUCGGCCAGCUUGGCUGGCGGUGCUCUGACCAAGCAGCAACAGCCGCACCAGCAGGAACAGCAGAUCCAGCAGCAGCAGCAGCAGCAGCAACAGAAACCGACCAUAUCAAUUAUGAAUUUAAGCCUGAAACCGCACGACGGCACGGGAUCGGGAACGGGUACGGGAAUGGGAACGGGAACGGGCACCGGCUCGAGUCAUCCCAAUUUGGGCACAUCAUCAUAUCAGAAUCUAUCAUCCAGCAUACCGCCAAGUGCGCCCAGUCGUUGUCGAGCCUGCCGCAAUUGCAGUCGACGGGCAUCGACGACGCCGAUCUCGACGGGCGGCCAGAUCGAUCGAUCUGCCUCGCGGGACAGUGUGAAAAGUGCCUUCCAACAGGGUAACCUGACCAGCUCGAUGGCCAUAUGCAUAUCAAACUCAGCCCUCCAACAGCAGCAGCAUCAGCAGCUGCAGCACCAGCUGCUGCAGCAGCAUCAGCAUCCGCAUCACCAGCAGCUGCAUCAGCAACAAUUGCAGCUGCAUCAGCAACAAUUGCAGCUGCAUCAUUAUCAACAGACACAGGUGCCGCCAGUGUUAAUCACAUCAUCGCCGACAAACGGUUCGCGAAUCAUCAGGCAGAGCUCACAGCCGGAGUCAAGCACCACGGCCAUUUGCUGUGGCUCGCACAGCUCCUGCGGCCACUCCCACACGGUACCGAAUGUGUCCCUCAAGCAGCUGCGGGAAAGCACCACAGAUGGCAUUGCGGGCAUUGCCGCCGAUUCCCUGAGGAUCAAUGGCGGCAUGCGUCCAUUCAAACAGCUCCGCAAGCCAGCGUCGACACUUUCAAUUCCUGGCUCGAUGAAAACACCUUCCAUUGCGAACCGGGAACAGAUCUCAUCUGGAUGCAACGAAGAAGCGGCCGAGGCACUUGUGGGUAUCCACUCAGACUACCCUAGGUAUGAAAUGUAUAUGGAAGAACGUGCGCUUACUGGCGGCAAUACGUCCAGGAAGCCAUCAACCAACUCGGCCAAACACAAACCCAAUGUGGGCUAUCGCCUGGGCAAGAGAAAAGCUUUAUUCGAGAAGCGUAAACGCAUUAGCGACUAUGCCCUUGUCAUGGGCAUGUUCGGGAUCAUCGUGAUGGUGAUUGAAAACGAACUGAGCAGUGCCGGCGUCUACACAAAGGCAUCGUUUUACUCGACAGCGUUAAAAACCUUAAUAUCUGUUUCGACUGUGAUUCUCUUAGGACUUAUAGUAGCUUACCAUGCUUUGGAAGUGCAGAAUUCAUUAUUCAUGAUAGAUAACUGCGCUGACGAUUGGAGGAUCGCAAUGACAUGGCAACGAAUUAGUCAAAUAGGUUUAGAACUUUUUAUAUGCGCUAUACAUCCAAUUCCUGGUGAAUACUAUUUCCAGUGGACGACGAAAUUGGCCAAUAAAAAUAAAACAAUUGGCACUGAAAUGGUGCCAUACGACGUAGCUUUAUCAUUACCUAUGUUCCUUCGAUUAUAUUUAAUCUGCCGCGUUAUGCUGCUUCAUUCAAAGCUAUUCACAGACGCAUCAUCACGGAGCAUCGGCGCUCUCAAUAGGAUUAAUUUUAACACAAGAUUUGUUUUGAAAACACUAAUGACAAUAUGCCCGGGAACGGUUCUAUUGGUCUUUAUGGUCUCGCUGUGGAUCAUCGCAUCCUGGACGCUGCGGCAAUGCGAAAGGGUGCUGGCUGUACAGCGCUACUUGUGGCUGUGGUAUCCCGCAAGCUGGAGCUGACCCGUGCCGAGAAGCAUGUGCACAACUUCAUGAUGGACACGCAGUUAACAAAAAGGCUGAAAAAUGCUGCGGCGAAUGUUCUUCGUGAAACUUGGCUCAUUUACAAACAUACAAGACUAGUAAAACGGGUUAAUCCCGGC
rnacentral:misc_RNA from 1 species